rnacentral:lncRNA from 10 species
GCCGGGUGCGGUGGCUCACGCCUGUAAUCCCAGCACUUUGGGAGGCCGAGACAGGCGGAUCACAAGGUCAGGAGAUCGAGACCAUCCUGGCUAACACUGUGAAACCCUGUCUCUACUAAAAAUACAUAAAAUUAGCUGGGUGUGGUGGCAUGCGCCUGUAGUCCCAGGCUGAGGCAGGAGAAUCGCCUGAACCUGGCAGGCAGAGAUUGCAGUGAGUCGACUAAUUUUUGUAUUUUUAGUAGAGACAGGGUUUCACCAUGUUGGCCAGGAUGGUCUUGAUCUCUUGACCUCGUGACCUGCCUGC